rnacentral:rRNA from 1 species
GAACUUUCCAGAGAUGGAUUGGUGCCUUCGGGAACUGUGAGACAGGUGCUGCAUGGCUGUCGUCAGCUCGUGUUGUGAAAUGUUGGGUUAAGUCCCGCAACGAGCGCAACCCUUAUCCUUUGUUGCCAGCGAUUAGGUCGGGAACUCAAAGGAGACUGCCAGUGAUAAACUGGAGGAAGGUGGGGAUGACGUCAAGUCAUCAUGGCCCUUACGACCAGGGCUACACACGUGCUACAAUGGCGCAUACAAAGAGAAGCGACCUCGCGAGAGCAAGCGGACCUCAUAAAGUGCGUCGUAGUCCGGAUUGGAGUCUGCAACUCGACUCCAUGAAGUCGGAAUCGCUAGUAAUCGUGGAUCAGAAUGCCACGGUGAAUACGUUCCCGGGCCUUGUACACACCGCCCGUCACACCAUGGGAGUGGGUUGCAAAAGAAGUAGGUAGCUUAACCUUCGGGAGGGCGCUUACCACUUUGUGAUUCAUGACUGGGGUGAAGUCGU